rnacentral:rRNA from 1 species
GGUUAAGUUAAUAAGGGCGCACGGUGGAUGCCUUGGCACUAGAAGCCGAAGAAGGACGUGACAAACGACGAAAUGCUUUGGGGAACUGUAAGUAAGCGCUGAUCCAGAGAUGUCCGAAUGGGGGAACCCACUAACUAAUGGUUAGUAUCCAUAACUGUUAAGGUUAUGAGAAGGAAGACGCAGUGAACUGAAACAUCUAAGUAGCUGCAGGAAGAGAAAGCAAACGCGAUUGCCUUAGUAGCGGCGAGCGAAACGGCAGGAGGGCAAACCGAAGUGUUUACACUUCGGGGUUGUAGGACUGCGACGUGGGACUUUAAAAGGAUAGAAGAAUUACCUGGGAAGGUAAGCCAAAGAGAGUAAAAGCCUCGUAUUUAAAAUUCUUUUGAGCCCUAGCAGUAUCCUGAGUACGGCGAGACACGUGAAAUCUCGUUGGAAUCUGGGAGGACCAUCUCCCAACCCUAAAUACUCUCUAGUGACCGAUAGUGAACCAGUACCGUGAGGGAAAGGUGAAAAGCACCCCGGGAGGGGAGUGAAAUAGAACCUGAAACCGUGUGCCUACAACAAGUUCGAGCCCGUUAAUGGGUGAGAGCGUGCCUUUUGUAGAAUGAACCGGCGAGUUACGAUAUGAUGCGAGGUUAAGUUGAAGAGACGGAGCCGUAGGGAAACCGAGUCUUAAUAGGGCGAUUUAGUAUCAUGUUGUAGACCCGAAACCAUGUGACCUACCCAUGAGCAGGUUGAAGGUGAGGUAAAACUCACUGGAGGACCGAACCAGGGCACGUUGAAAAGUGCUUGGAUGACUUGUGGGUAGCGGAGAAAUUCCAAACGAACUUGGAGAUAGCUGGUUCUCUCCGAAAUAGCUUUAGGGCUAGCGUCGAUGUUAAGUCUCUUGGAGGUAGAGCACUGUUUGGGUGAGGGGUCCAUCUCGGAUUACCAAUCUCAGAUAAACUCCGAAUGCCAACGAGAUAUCAUCGGCAGUCAGACUGCGAGUGCUAAGAUCCGUAGUCGAAAGGGAAACAGCCCAGACCACCAGCUAAGGUCCCAAAAUAACUGUUAAGUGGAAAAGGAUGUGGGGUUGCACAGACAACUAGGAUGUUAGCUUAGAAGCAGCUAUUCAUUCAAAGAGUGCGUAAUAGCUCACUAGUCGAGUGACCCUGCGCCGAAAAUGUACCGGGGCUAAAACAGUUUACCGAAGCUGUGGAUGACACAAAAGUGUCAUGGUAGGAGAGCGUUCUAUGUGUGAAGAAGGUGUACCGUGAGGAGCGCUGGAACGCAUAGAAGUGAGAAUGCCGGUAUGAGUAGCGAAAGACAGGUGAGAAUCCUGUCCACCGUAAGACUAAGGUUUCCAGGGGAAGGCUCGUCCGCCCUGGGUUAGUCGGGACCUAAGGAGAGACCGAAAGGUGUAUCCGAUGGCCAACAGGUUGAUAUUCCUGUACUAGAGUAUAUAGUGAUGGAGGGACGCAGUAGGCUAACUAAACCGGACGAUUGGAAGAGUCCGGCUAAGCAGUGAGGUGUAAGAUGAGUCAAAUGCUUAUCUUUAUAACAUUGAGCUGUGAUGGGGAGCGAAUUUUAGUAGCGAAGUUAGUGAUGUCACACUGCCAAGAAAAGCUUCUAGCGUUUAAUGAUACUCUACCCGUACCGCAAACCGACACAGGUAGUCGAGGCGAGUAGCCUCAGGUGAUCGAGAGAACUCUCGUUAAGGAACUCGGCAAAAUGACCCCGUAACUUCGGGAGAAGGGGUGCUGACUUAGGUCAGCCGCAGUGAAUAGGCCCAAGCAACUGUUUAUCAAAAACACAGCUCUCUGCUAAAUCGUAAGAUGAUGUAUAGGGGGUGACGCCUGCCCGGUGCUGGAAGGUUAAGAGGAGGGUUUAGCGCAAGCGAAGAUCUGAAUUGAAGCCCCAGUAAACGGCGGCCGUAACUAUAACGGUCCUAAGGUAGCGAAAUUCCUUGUCGGGUAAGUUC